GCAGCUGUGGCCUACUGGUUAGGGCUUCAGGCUUGUAACCGAAGGGUUUGCCGGUUCAAUCCCCAACCGGUAGUC
rnacentral:tRNA from 1 species